CUCGAUGAGUAGGGCGGGACACGUGGUAUCCUGUCUGAAUAUGGGGGGACCAUCCUCCAAGGCUAAAUACUCCUGACUGACCGAUAGUGAACCAGUACCGUGAGGGAAAGGCGAAAAGAACCCCGGCGAGGGGAGUGAAAAAGAACCUGAAACCGUGUACGUACAAGCAGUGGGAGCACGCUUAGGCGUGUGACUGCGUACCUUUUGUAUAAUGGGUCAGCGACUUAUAUUCUGUAGCAAGGUUAACCGAAUAGGGGAGCCGAAGGGAAACCGAGUCUUAACUGGGCGUUAAGUUGCAGGGUAUAGACCCGAAACCCGGUGAUCUAGCCAUGGGCAGGUUGAAGGUUGGGUAACACUAACUGGAGGACCGAACCGACUAAUGUUGAAAAAUUAGCGGAUGACUUGUGGCUGGGGGUGAAAGGCCAAUCAAACCGGGAGAUAGCUGGUUCUCCCCGAAAGCUAUUUAGGUAGCGCCUCGUGAAUUCAUCUCCGGGGGUAGAGCACUGUUUCGGCAAGGGGGUCAUCCCGACUUACCAACCCGAUGCAAACUGCGAAUACCGGAGAAUGUUAUCACGGGAGACACACGGCGGGUGCUAACGUCCGUCGUGAAGAGGGAAACAACCCAGACCGCCAGCUAAGGUCCCAAAGUCAUGGUUAAGUGGGAAACGAUGUGGGAAGGCCCAGACAGCCAGGAUGUUGGCUUAGAAGCAGCCAUCAUUUAAAGAAAGCGUAAUAGCUCACUGGUCGAGUCGGCCUGCGCGGAAGAUGUAACGGGGCUAAACCAUGCACCGAAGCUGCGGCAGCGACGCUGAUGCGUUGUUGGGUAGGGGAGCGUUCUGUAAGCCUGCGAAGGUGUGCUGUGAGGCAUGCUGGAGGUAUCAGAAGUGCGAAUGCUGACAUAAGUAACGAUAAAGCGGGUGAAAAGCCCGCUCGCCGGAAGACCAAGGGUUCCUGUCCAACGUUAAUCGGGGCAGGGUGAGUCGACCCCUAAGGCGAGGCCGAAAGGCGUAGUCGAUGGGAAACAGGUUAAUAUUCCUGUACUUGGUGUUACUGCGAAGGGGGGACGGAGAAGGCUAUGUUGGCCGGGCGACGGUUGUCCCGGUUUAAGCGUGUAGGCUGGU
rnacentral:rRNA from 1 species